rnacentral:rRNA from 1 species
UAAGACGGAGGAUGCAAGCGUUAUCCGGAAUUAUUGGGCGUAAAGCGUACGUAGGCGGUUUUAUAAGUCUGUUGUCAAAGCCCGAGGCUUAAUCUUGGAAAGGCAAUGGAAACUGUAAGACUAGAGAGAGAUAGGGGCAGGAGGAAUUCCAGGUGUAGCGGUGAAAUGCGUAGAUAUCUGGAAGAACACCAGUGGCGAAAGCGUCCUGCUGGAUCUCAACUGACGCUGAAGUACGAAAGCUAGGGGAGCGAAUGGGAUUAGAUACCCCAGUAGUCCUAGCCGUAAACGAUGGGUACUAGGUGUUGGCCGUAUCGACCCGGUCAGUGCCGUAGCUAACGCGUUAAGUACCCCGCCUGGGGAGUACGGUCGCAAGAUUGAAACUCAAAGGAAUUGACGGGGGCCCGCACAAGCGGUGGAGUAUGUGGUUUAAUUCGAUGCAACGCGAAGAACCUUACCAAGGCUUGACAUGUCGCGAAUCCUCCUGAAAGGGAGGAGUGCCUUCGGGAGCGCGAACACAGGUGGUGCA